GUAACAACGCGCAUUGAAACUCGAGCGGGCUAAUGCACUACGGAAACUUGGUAGAGUCAAAAAGAAUUUAAACGCGAAUCUCUCCUCCCACCUACACUUCUUCCUGGAGUGAGUUACUGGUUUGUUGCCGCCCCCCAUUGGGCAGACGAGCUGCUGCAAGAGCUCAGCUUCCUGGAACGCAAGGAAGGAGUCUCUCUCCCCCAUGCUCUGUUUCUUGGAUGAGAAAGAAAAUGAAAGUGGAAGGAAGACAUGCUAUGGUGAUGGGGCAGGGUUUUCUGUUCUGUUUCUUCUGAGCCAAGAUAAGAUGGGACUCCUUCUGCACAGUGAGCAUGUACAGUCACGCAGGGCUGGACACUUGGGAGGGAGUCUGGAAGAGGCAGUGAAUUUGGCUGAAGAGCCCCAUGGCCAGCUGUGCCAUCUUGGUGGCGAGUGGGCUGCCUUUCUGAGCAUCUCUCAAGUUGUUCCGCUGUUGCCAUGGCAGAUCCCACAGUGGUGCCCUUGGGAGCAUGCGCAGUGUGACUGGAGUGGGGGUGGGGAGAGCAGGGGGACUCGUCUCCCUGGAAAAAGAACUGGUACAAUCUGAUUUCAUGUGGGAGAGAGGUUCGGCCACCGCUCCUCAGAUGUCUCUCAGUUCUACUGAAAUUUGGCCCCAGUUCAAGUUGACUACAGCUGGGUUUGGAUGUCAAAAUGUCCCAUUUAGGGACUGGAGAAAGGAGAUGGAAUUGAGUGUUUCAUUUGCAAACCCUCUGUCAUCUAGGUAAUUCUUUUGCUAACAUUGUCCCAAAAUCUUAGCUGAACAUGGUGGUGCCUGUAAUCCCUGCACUCUGGGCGGCUGGCCAGAGGACGGUAAGUUCAACCCCAGCCCGGACAACUUAGUGACUUGGUGAGAGACCCUGUCUCAAAAUAAAAAAUUAGAAAAGGGCUGAGGAUGUAGCUCGUUAUGAAGGCCUUUAAACAAGAGCAACAAACCCCCUACCUCUUCCACUUACAGAGCACACACGCAGGUGGAAUAAGUGUGGGAGUGGGGAGAUAGCUAAUCUAGGGGGAGGUUUCUGAUGGCUCGGAAACUGGCUAAGUCAGGAUAAGAAUGAAUAACUGAAGGUUGCUCUUCUGUUCUACCCCCCACUCCCUUGUUUGUUUUUGAGGCAAGGGCUUGCUAUACAGCUCAGGUAGGCCUGAACUCACCAUGUCGCCCAGGUGGGCCUCAAGUGCUGGCACUGCAAGCAUGCACUACCACACCUGGCUCCCCCCAUUGAAAAAAAUCAGUGUAAACUGUUGAACUCGAAGUCAUUCUACUAUGAUGAAGUAUCCAAAAUUUUAAAUGAAUACGAGCAUUUUCCUUCUGGAUUUAUUCAGGAAAUUCCUCAUUCCCUUUUUGUCUUGCCCAGGGAAAGCCAUUUCUAUCAAAGUGAAGUUCCCUCUUGGACUGAGGAAUCCACCUAAGCUUGGUUCUUCUUUCAUGCUUCUUCUGACAGAAGCAAGCAGAGAACCACUGUAAGAAAUAAAAGGAGGGCCGGGGAUUUAGCUCAGUGGUUCCAGCGCCUGCCUCGAAAGCGCAAGGUCCCAAGUUCUAUCCUCGGUACCAAAAAAAAAAAAGAAAUAAAA